GACGAACGCUGGCGGCGUGCUUAACACAUGCAAGUCGAACGCUGAAGCUCAGCUUUUGUUGGGUGGAUGAGUGGCGAACGGGUGAGUAACACGUGAGUAACCUGCCUCCUUCUUUGGGAUAACGCCCGGAAACGGGUGCUAAUACUGGAUAUUCACUGGUCUUCGCAUGGGGGUUGGUGGAAAGGGUUUUUCUGGUGGGGGAUGGGCUCGCGGCCUAUCAGCUUGUUGGUGGGGUGAUGGCCUACCAAGGCUUUGACAGGUAGCCGGCCUGAGAGGGUGACCGGUCACAGUGGGACCGAGAUACGGCCCAGACUCCUACGGGGGGCGGAAGUGGGGAAUAUUGCACAAUGGGUGCAAGACUGAUGCAGCGACGCCGCGUGAGGGAUGGAGGCCUUCGAGUUGUGAACCUCUUUCGCUAAUGGUCAAGCCGCAACAAUGGUUGUGGUGAGGGUAGUGGGUAAAGAAGCGCCGGCUAACUACGUG
rnacentral:rRNA from 1 species